GGGGUUGUGGCUCAGAGGUAGAGCACUCGCCUAAAGUGUGUGAGGCACUGGGUUCAAUCCUCAGCACCACA
rnacentral:tRNA from 1 species